CUCCACCUUGUUCCAACCCGCCGCCACUAGCAUCUCCUUCAUCGGGAUCCUCCUCCAACCACCACGGCCAACUAGCUCCCCAGAUGCAUCCACCUCUGCCCCUUGAAUUUCGUGUUGGGCCAACCUCAAUCCUUCCCCUCGUCUCCUCAUGGACGCUUCCGUCGCCUGUAGGUAGUGCGAGGCUCCCCGUCCUCGCGCCGGAGACGAACGCCAUGGCUGCCCCGAACCUGACCGCUUAGGUUGCCGUCAUCGGGAUCAACCUCGUCAUGAAGCGCUAAGCCGUCACCACAGUAGUUCCACUCGACCACUGGUCAUGUCGCUGCAAACCUCGCCGUCGUUUGCCCUGCCCCUCGCUGCCGAUUGGGAACGGGACGGGCGCCCUCGGAUCGGUCCCCGACCACAGCCCCAUGGCCAGGACCUCCCCUAUCACCGUCUCUCCAUCGCCAUGUCGCUCACCUCUAUUUUCCGCUAUGAGCCCAUACCUGAAAGUUCGUUUUUCCUAUAUCUGUUGUGUGUAGGGGUUAUUUUGCAUUGUUGUCAUGUUUCCUCACAAACAUAUGCAGUAGCAGGGGUUCGAGUCCCACCCACCUCAAUUUUUCCUGUUGUUGUGUUAAAAUUUGGCACACAAGCUACACUUCAACCGUAAAUGUUCCUUGGCCACGAUCUCCCAGCUAGCUUAGUGGUUUAGCAUUGAUCCAUCGAACCAAGGGAUCUCGGUUAGAAUCUCACACUCGCCAUUUUCUUCUUCCAUGUUUUUCCCUUUUUCUUUUGCACAGACACCACCACUUGGGCCAAAUCACCCUCGACUAGUUCACUAUGUUGCAAUUCGGUCGAGUUAUAUUGUUUCUUGGCCCCUAUGUUUUUCAACAAUAUCAAUUCAUUGCAUCAUUUUGCAUUGCUAAUAACGAUUUAACCGUGCAUCAAAUUUAAAAACUUCAUACAUGAAACUUGCUUAGAAUUAUGUGUAGUUUCACAAUAUCCAACUUUCAACCAUGUUUAAAAUGUUUAAACUUGAUGUUUAAUUAAAAAAUUUAGAUGCCUUGUCAAAAUGAAUUAAUUCAAAACUAUUUAACCGUAGCUAUGAUUAAAAUGUUUCAUAUAUGUAACUUGGCUAGAAAAUGUGUAGAACAACAUAAUGACAUUCAUUUUUUUGCUUAACAACUCUAAAAUUGUGUUUUAGGCUGAUCUGUAGCAAAUACAAAAUUACAUAUGGGGACUUUUUCGAAUUCUCGUUCAUUGUUCUGGCCUUAUUUAAACUUGGUUAAAAUUUUAGGUAGUUUCAUAAUAUAUCAUUGCAUCCAUGCUUUAACAUGUUGUGGGUGUCUUUUGCAUGCAUUUUGCAUCCAUGUCAUAUUAUCUUGUGAUGAUCAUAUCUUUUAUACCGUAGCUCCGCUUUACAUGAUAUAUAUAUGUAAAUCGACUAGUAUGACGUGUAGAAUCAUGUGAACCACUUUAUUUUCCUGUUUAACAAAUAUAAAACAUGUUUAGGCAGAUCUCGACAUAUUUCGAAAUUAACACUCAUUUUGGAGAUGCUAUAUGUUGUUUCCGACCUCAUUUAAAAUGCCUAGAUAGUGUAGUUUAAUUAUGCUUCACC